GGAGGGAUGCCGGAGUGGUCGAACGGGCCUGACUUGAAAUCAGGUAGCUCGCUUUGCGAGCUCGGGGGUUCGAAUCCCUCUCCCUCCG
rnacentral:tRNA from 1 species